ACAAGCGAAUGGUGAACCUGGUGGCUCAACCACCAGACCAUUAUUCGAACUCGUCUGCUCGAGAGUAAGAGAGGUACCUGGAAUUUCUUGUGUAGGAGUGAAAUCCGUAGAUAUAAGAAGGAACACCAAUGGCGUAAGCAGGGUACUGGCUUAUUUCUGACGCUAAGGCACGAAAGCGUGGGGAGCGAACCGGAUUAGAUACCCGGGUAGUCCACGCCGUAAACGAUGGAUACUA
rnacentral:rRNA from 1 species